rnacentral:rRNA from 1 species
GACGAACGCUGGCGGCGUGCUUAACACAUGCAAGUCGAACGGAAAGGCCCUGCUUGCAGGGUACUCGAGUGGCGAACGGGUGAGUAACACGUGGGUGAUCUGCCCUGCACUUCGGGAUAAGCCUGGGAAACUGGGUCUAAUACCGGAUAGGAGCCAUUUUUAGUGUGAUGGUUGGAAAGUUUUUUCGGUGUAGGAUGAGCUCGCGGCCUAUCAGCUUGUUGGUGGGGUAAUGGCCUACCAAGGCGGCGGCGGGUAGCCGGCCUGAGAGGGUGGACGGCCACAUUGGGACUGAGGUACGGCCCAGACUCCUACGGGGGGCAGCAGGGGGGAAUAUUGCACAAUGGGCGCAAGCCUGAUGCAGCGACGCCGCGUGGGGGAUGACGGCCUUCGGGUUGUAAAAUCCUUUCGCUAGGGACGAAGCUUUUUGUGACGGUACCUAGAUAAGAAGCACCGGCUAACUACGUG